rnacentral:lncRNA from 1 species
UAAUGGGAGACCUGGACUGCAUACGGCACUUCCCCAACGCCCACUUCCACCGCCAUUUAUGUCCCCUGGCCUCUCCACCUCCUCCGUCUUCAUCACCGCCGGGAAAAACCCUCCUCCUAUUCUCUCCCACAUCAAACACCCAAACCAGAACAAUCAACACCAAAAUUGCCAGUGCUGGGUACAGGAAGAAGGGGAAGAUGAAGAUGGCAGAGAUCUGACUCUCAGACCUCAUUUCUUGCUAGUAUAUACAUAUAUAUACACACACAUACAGUGAGAGUCGUAUACAUACCUAUGAUUCAAUCAGUUUCAGCAAAAGGGAAUAGCAAAAGAGAGACACUUUGCAGUUGUUCCGGCAGCCGCCGAUAAUUCACAGGCAGCGGCAGUGAGGAAUCAACUAGGAGAAAGCCAAAGCCUUAUCUGUUGGUUUUACC